rnacentral:lncRNA from 1 species
AUUAAAUGUUACUGACCUCAAACUUGUAGUUUAUCAGUUUAAUCUCAAAGUGGUUAAUUGUUUGAUCACUGCAUUGAUCUGUGUCUGUAGAGAGUGUUUCUGUGAAGGAGGAUGGAGGCGUUUCUCCCGAUCUGGAGCACCUCCUGCUGUCUGGUGAUCUGUACUGCAGAGUGUUUUCCUCUCACGCUCUGUCCGGCGUCACAGCGCCACCUAGAGACCUGGGCUCUCUGCUGCAGCUCCUCAGCCGGUACGACCUGAUCCCGCUCCACACGGAGCAGCAGAAGCCGGUCGAUGAGACGCAGCUGAGCCAGAAACCCAUUAACAUGGGGGCCCAUCUGGCCGUGAUUGAUUCUCUGAUGUCACUGAGUGCAAUGGAAACCGUGGGUCAGGUUAAGAUGACGAAGGAGACGGAUCAGUUUGGGUCCAGCAGGAGCUGGGAGAACUCACUGCUCUUCUGGAUCAACAAGGUGAAUCAGAAGUUGCGAGAAAGCACUAAUGUUGAGGAUAAUCCGAAGCCAAACCCCUGCACGGACCUGCAGCCGGCUCAGCCAUCUUGCCCACAGCGCUGGUACUGGAAACUGGUCCCAGUGAGUAUUACAGCUAAAAACACACACAUCAGCCCGAGUCUCAGUUACUGACGGGACUCACUGGCUUCUCAUGAUUAAUAAGACGUCCUCAUUGCAUAUGUGAUCGUGUAUGACACGGAUCAUGGAUACAAACCAGAGUUUGAGCCAUUUGCCCACGUCCCCGAC